GCUGAAGAUCAGCUGUAUCAGCUGUGGCAUUUCAACAGGAAGAAUAUAAUGAGGCAGCGAUGAAUCUCCCCCUUUCAGUCCCACCUCUGCUGUGUCUGCUGACAGAUGAGGAAACUGAGGCACAGCGAGGUCAAUUAGCUUGCAAGCUAAUAAGGGCUGAAGGAGAAAAUCAACUCCACGUAGCCUGGCUCUGAGCCCUGACUCUCAGCAUCGUGCACGAAGCAAGGGAUCUGAAUUGGUGUUCCCUGAUCUAGCAUCUCGAAGAGUGCACGAUGGUCAUGGAGAAGAGAUGGAGAAAAAUGUGUCCACCGAGGCGUAGAGGUGGGAAACAUGGAGAACCUUCAGGGAACUGGAUGCAGUUUCACGUGGCAGGCAGUUGAGCACAACUGAGAGGUGAACACUCCUGAGACAGUGUGGAACUUGAGUGAUUGUCCUUGGCUGUGCCUAAUGCAAGGGUCUUUGAGGAACUGCAGGCAGCGUGGCUGGGGUCCGCAAGACUUGGAGUAAGAUACAUGGAGUAAGUAGGAUUCUGCUGAUGGCAUCUGGGCAACAACUUGAAUCUGUGUCUCCGAUAAUGUAUGUUCCUGAAAAACGGUAACAUUCCCCAACUGUCCUUCUCUUCAGCAGCUCCACCCACUUCUCUGGCUUAGCCAGCACGGUGUGCUAAGUUCUGCAUUGAGUACAGACUUCUUCUCAACUCCAUUUUAUACCCCGGCUGUUCUUGCUCCUGCUUCCUCUCUCACUCAAAGCCAUCAGGCAGACCAUCCACCUUCCAAGACUUGGCUUAUGAGUCAUGCCCCUACAAAGUAUCUCCUGGACUCAUUCUCCAUCCCCAUCCUCUUGGAGUCAGAGGUUUUCUUCUUUAUUCCUAAAUGAAAUGUAUCUAUCACCGUCAUGGCAUCUGUAAUGCUGGAUUCUCUUAUUAAAUUGAUAAGUCUGUCUCCCCACAUCGACUCUAGGAAAAAUCCCUCCAGGCAGAGUCCUUUUAUGUCUCUUGGGUGCCCAGGAUCUGGCGCAGUGCUUGGCACUCAGUUGGUACUUAAUAAAU